rnacentral:rRNA from 1 species
GAUGAACGCUGGCGGCGUGCCUAAUACAUGCAAGUCGAGCGAACAGACGAGGAGCUUGCUCCUCUGACGUUAGCGGCGGACGGGUGAGUAACACGUGGAUAACCUACCUAUAAGACUGGGAUAACUUCGGGAAACCGGAGCUAAUACCGGAUAAUAUAUUGAACCGCAUGGUUCAAUAGUGAAAGACGGUUUUGCUGUCACUUAUAGAUGGAUCCGCGCCGCAUUAGCUAGUUGGUAAGGUAACGGCUUACCAAGGCGACGAUGCGUAGCCGACCUGAGAGGGGGAUCGCCCACACAGUAACUGAGACACGGUCCAGACUCUUACGGGAGGCAGCAGUAGGGAAUCUUCCGCAAUGGGCGAAAGCGUGAGGGAGCAACGCGGCGUGAGAGAGGAAGGUCUUCGGAUCGUAAAACUCUGUGAUUAGGGAAAAAAAAAUGUGUAAGAAACAAUGCACGUCUUGACGGUACCUAAUAAGAAAGCCACGGCUAACUACGUG